UGAGUAACACGUGGACAACCUGCCUUUGAGAUGGGGACAACAUUCCGAAAGGGGUGCUAAUACCGAAUAAGGUUUACCGGUCACAUGAUGGGUAGAUGAAAGAUGGCCUCUCGUAGAAGCUAUCACUUGAAGAGGGGUCCGCGCCUGAUUAGCUAGUUGGAGUGGUAACGGCACACCAAGGCAACGAUCAGUAGCCGGUCUGAGAGGACGAACGGCCACACUGGGACUGAGACACGGCCCAG
rnacentral:rRNA from 1 species